rnacentral:misc_RNA from 1 species
GAUGAAGAACGCAGCGAAAUGCGAUAAGUAAUGUGAAUUGCAGAAUUCAGUGAAUCAUCGAAUCUUUGAACGCAUCUUGCGCUCCUUGGUAUUCUGAGGAGCAUGCCUGUUUGAGUGUCAUUAAAUUCUCAACUACACUGACUUUGAAUUGGUGUGGCUUGGAUUUGGGGGGAAAAUUGUUGUGGGCUUUUUGUAUAGUCUGCUCCCCUGAAAUUGAUUAGCGGUACCUUUGUGGAACUGUCUACAGGUGUGAUAAUUAUCUACAUCAUAGACAUCUGCUGGAAUGCUGCUUUCUAAACCUUACUUGUAUUGACAAUCUUGACCUCAAAUCAGGUAGGACUACCCGCUGAACUUAAGCAUAUCAAUAAGCGGAGGA